GUUUUGUAGUGUUUACACCGGGAUAAAAUAAAUAAAUCCAUAAUAAGAUAUCCAGAGACCGGUAUUAUUACACUCGAUAAUUGCAAUACAAUGGCUGACGACUCAUUGGGCUUUUAUUGUGCCAGACGGGGUUCCUGUACUAUAGUGGUUUGAUUUGGAGUUGUGCGAUUGGUUAAUUUGGUCGGGGUACCUACUGCUGUCAGG